ensembl:lncRNA
CCGCCGCCGGGGCAGCAGCCGUCCGGGGACGCCGCGAGCCAGGGGAAGAGAUGAGGGCCGCCGCCCGCCCGCCCCGUUUCACCUUUCUUUACCUCAGGAGCCAGGGGCAGACAGCAAUACUUCGUCCAGUCCACCACCUGGACCUGGGCGCCGCGCCGGGGGGCCGCCGUCGGGGCGGGAGGAGCAGGCCCCCCCACACAUCCCUGGUGGCCGAAGCUCAGAAGGGCCCAGCUGUGGUCCUGCCCGUGCGUAUACGUGUAUACAUAUGCAUAUACAUAGAGAGAGACAGACAUAUAUAUUUAUUUUUUCUACCGAGAGCUUAUGACUUCCAGAAAGUGCUAAAGUUGAGCAUAGCCGGUGGGGGCCCACUCCGGGGGCACUGGCGGCAGGAAUUUCUGGUGUCUCCCUCCAGGGUUGAGAGUGGCUUGGAGAGGGCUCUCAGGCCUCUGAGGGUCCCCACCAUGGCCGGGGAGACAGGCCCAGAAAAAGAGGUGGAAUUCAGGGUGCAUUUUUUCCUUUAAAGAAGAAACGCUGCUAAGAUCCCGCCCCUCUACAUGUUGGGGUGUCUGUCUUGUUCCUGACCGUCUAGUUGUUGUGACAGUCCUUCAUAGAUGCCCCAGAGCACACAAACUCUUAGUCAACCAGUUAGAUGUCUUUCUUUAGAAAAACCAGGGGUGAGUCCUGGUAUUACUUUUAGGACGGGGUGGGGGUGGAAGGUGGCUCCACGACUGAGCAGGGUGGGGGGCCUCACCUUUAGGUGAGGUUCCAGGGGCUUUUGCCCCCAAGGAGCUGAGAGCAGCAGGGCUGCAGGAAGGAGAGGGACAGUGGAGGAUUAAUCAGAUGAGGUAUUUUGAGGUCAAGGGAACCCUCCUGGUCUGUGCUGUUCAGGGUAAAACAGAUCUGACAGGACCCUAAGUAGGGGUAGGGGUACCUACCUGGGCCCUGGGAUCAGCUCUGGCCCCUGCACCUUCCCAUGCCCGCCUGGCACCUGGAGACCCACAUCCCCACAUCCUCUCUCCCUGCUGCCUGCCUCUGAGUCUCUGUUUUAUCCCCCUUCCCAGCUUUCGCAAAGCUGCAAUACUUCUCAAAUGGGUUCCCAGAUGGGUAUUUAUUUGAAUAGUUUUGCAUUUAUUUCAGUACUUAUUAGGGAAAAAACCCAGUACAUUGGACCCAUGACGUCACAUAGUGCUCAGAUCAAGGCUGGGUUUUGAGCAGUGAAUGGACUUGAAGUCAUUUUGAGGAAGAAGGCUGGGUCAUGGUGAUGCAGUGAUCUGCAGACACGCAGAGGUUGUGGGGUGGGAAAGGCCGAAAGCUGGGGACUCACCACCCUUCAGCAAUAACCAGGCCCUCUGCCGGUGUGAGAGCCUCUCAAAGGCUUCGGCUGGCCCCGCUGAGGGGCCCUUGACCUUGUUCCCAAAACCUGACCUUAAAGUGUUUGGCUUUGGGCUGGGCAGACAGGUUUGGGAGAAAGGUCUUCUUGACAGGCCCUGAGUCUUCUGGGUGGCAGAGGGACCCCUGGGGUCUGGGCAUCGUGCAAAGGGAGGAGGUAACAUGGCCUGCAAAGCCUUUCCCCAAGAGCUGGUAGGGGGAAGGGUUGUUUGGUCCACUUCACACCUGAGAAAGCCAAGGUCCACCCCAGCGGGUGAAGGGGCCACCCCAGGGGAGCAAAGCUCU